rnacentral:misc_RNA from 1 species
UUAAUUUAAUUAAAAUUUUAUACUCAGACGACUGGUUUAAUACAAGAGUUUGGUUGGACUCUGGCGGGCACUCACCAAUCCGAAGACCGGUGCGCUCGGAGGACCAAACGGUCCCGCCAAAGCAACAGGUAGUUAUAACAACAGAGGGUUGGAGGUCGGGCCUUGAAGACCCUUACUCUUUAAUGAUCCUUCCGCAGGUUCACCUACGGAAA